CCUACGGGUGGCUGCAGUGAGGAAUCUUGGUCAAUGGGCGGAAGCCUGAACCAGCCAAGUAGCGUGCAGGAUGACGGCCCUACGGGUUGUAAACUGCUUUUAUACGGGAAUAACGCGCCUUACGUGUAGGUCUUUGCAUGUACCGUAUGAAUAAGGACCGGCUAAUUACGUGCCAGCAGCCGCGGUAAGACGGAAGGUCCGGGCGUUAUCCGGAUUUAUUGGGUUUAAAGGGAGCGUAGGCCGCAUGUCAAGCGUGCUGUGAAAUGUCCGGGCUCAACCCGGGCCGUGCAGCGCGAACUGGCGUGCUUGAGUCCGCGGAAAGCAGGCGGAAUUCGUCGUGUAGCGGUGAAAUGCUUAGAUAUGACGAAGAACCCCGAUUGCGAAGGCAGCUUGCUGCAGCGGAACUGACGCUGAUGCUCGAAAGCGCGGGUAUCGAACAGGAUUAGAUACCCGAGUAGUC
rnacentral:rRNA from 1 species